rnacentral:rRNA from 1 species
AGUGAACGCUGGCGGUAGGCCUAACACAUGCCAGUCGAACGGCAGCACAGUAAGAGCUUGCUCUUACGGGUGGCGAGUGGCGGACGGGUGAGGAAUACAUCGGAAUCUACUUUUUCGUGGGGGAUAACGUAGGGAAACUUACGCUAAUACCGCAUACGACCUACGGGUGAAAGCAGGGGAUCUUCGGACCUUGCGCGAUUGAAUGAGCCGAUGUCGGAUUAGCUAGUUGGCGGGGUAAAGGCCCACCAAGGCGACGAUCCGUAGCUGGUCUGAGAGGAUGAUCAGCCACACUGGAACUGAGACACGGUCCAGACUCCUACGGGAGGCAGCAGUGGGGAAUAUUGGACAAUGGGCGCAAGCCUGAUCCAGCCAUACCGCGUGGGUGAAGAAGGCCUUCGGGUUGUAAAGCCCUUUUGUAGGGAAAGAAAAGCAGCAGGUUAAUACCCCGCUGUUCUGACGGUACCCAAAGAAUAAGCACCGGCUAACUUCGUG